rnacentral:rRNA from 1 species
UCAUGGCUCAGGAUGAACGCUAGCGGGAGGCCUAACACAUGCAAGCCGAGCGGUAUAGAUUCUUCGGAAUCUAGAGAGCGGCGUACGGGUGCGGAACACGUGUGCAACCUGCCUUUAUCUGGGGGAUAGCCUUUCGAAAGGAAGAUUAAUACCCCAUAAUAUAUUGACUGGCAUCAGUUGAUAUUGAAAACUCCGGUGGAUAGAGAUGGGCACGCGCAAGAUUAGAUAGUUGGUGAGGUAACGGCUCACCAAGUCUACGAUCUUUAGGGGGCCUGAGAGGGUGAUCCCCCACACUGGUACUGAGACACGGACCAGACUCCUACGGGAGGCAGCAGUGAGGAAUAUUGGACAAUGGGUGAGAGCCUGAUCCAGCCAUCCCGCGUGAAGGACGACGGCCCUAUGGGUUGUAAACUUCUUUUGUAUAGGGAUAAACCUACUCUCGUGAGAGUAGCUGAAGGUACUAUACGAAUAAGCACCGGCUA